CCUCUCUCUCUCUCUCUCGCGCAAAACCCUCCCCACCCUUGCCGACCCGCCGACCCGACCCGACGCCAGCGGCGCCGUCGCUCUUCCUCCGGCCACGACCCGGCCCUCCCCGAGGUCGCCUCGAGCCGCCCAGCCGCUCCCUGCCACCGCCUUGCCCCGCCGCUGCCCCCAGAUGGAGAUCGAAGACACCCCAGCUAGGUGAACCCGACCCGACCGGAAAACCAUUUUUCCGGCGUUGCAUGGGCCGAUCGUCCCCAUUUUCGUGAUCUCCUCCUCAUGCUGAUCAUCCCCAUACGCUCCGGAUUAAUCCAACUUCAACGCUUGAUCUAGGACGAUCUAGGCCAAACCAGACUUAGCUCCAGGUUAUCGACGGAUUGAUUUGGCGGACAAUUCGGGAAAAUUGUUGUUUUAGCUGUUAAGAAGACGCAGCUGGAUUAGAGGUGAGUAAACCUCACGUGGUUCAUAUUACGAACCGAAUAAAUUUAAUUACUUUAUUUUUAUCGCAAUUGUGUGAAAAUAUUUGUGGAAUAAAUAUUUGUUUUAAAUCAUAUGGACUUGAUCAACUACGGUCCAUAGGUAAGUAAAAUGAUUUCAUUUAUACAAAUGAAUUUCACGGUUUUUAUGCUUGAACUAUAGUUGGUAUUAGUGGUCAUCCCUGAGCGGAUGAUU